rnacentral:lncRNA from 1 species
GGUGUCGUCUCAGCCCAAGAUGCUUCCCUUCAGGAACGAGUGUUAGCUCAGUUGCGAGCUGCCCUGUAUGGUAUUCAUGACAUCUUCUUCGUAAUGGAUGCAGCUGAGAGAAUGUCAAUCCUCCAUCAUGAUCGAGAAGCCCGCAAAGAGAAGCUGCUCCGGCAGAUGGAUAAGAUGAGAAGUCCACGAGUGGCGCUUUCAGUGGCAACACAGAAGUCCCUGGACAGGAAGAAGUUCAUGAAAGUUGCUGAAAUGGGAAUGGCAAAUAAGAAGUUCCUGCUUAAGCAAAACCCUUCAGAAACAAGAGUCCUUCAGCCAAACCAAGGACAGAAUGCACCUGUUCAUAGGCUACUUAGUAGACAAGGGAGCAUAUGCAGGAAAAACCCAAAGAAAGCGGCCAAAUGUUGCGACAAUUUAAGAAGACAGCACUCGCUGGGAUGAAGCAGGGAGCAGGGCUGCUGCCACCCACGUUCCACUCUCUAGUCAGGGCUUUUGACUUAGCCCUGGACUCUUUAUGCAGGCAAAGGGACAGCAAGGGCUGAGCAUUGGCCUGUCUAAUCUGGUCAGCUUGGGGAAUUCCUGCCUCAUUUUCCUAUUAAUGUUACUUUGGGUAAAAAUGAUUAGUAAUUGCCUUGUUUCUGAGCUUAGCCUAUAUAAAGAUAAUUUCUGUGCCCAGAGUCACCCUUUUUUAUAAACACGAAAAGAUACUUAUUUUUACAAAUUAUUGGAAAGAUAUCACCAAUUUUAAAUUAGCCCUAAAGCCUAAAUUUCAUUCAUGACUAUGUACUAAUUGCUGAAUUUGGGGAACAAAUUAGAGACGGUUCUAUUCAAAGGGAAAUUAUUGCAGGAAUAUCUGUUUUUCUAAUUUUAAACACUCAGAAUCCCACAUCCUUUGACUUGCAGUGUAGCUACACAGAAUGAAACACUUCCUGCUAAAUCCCACAUAAGAAGUGACUGAGGGUCUUGGUUUUGGGUAGAAAAGAAGACAUUUCUGCAGACAGCUGGUUGUUUUACGGGAAUGUUGGGUUUCCUGUGUGUUACUGUUGGGCAGAUGUAGACUAGAUUAUGUGCACUACCCUGGGAGGUGGCACAUUUAGAGGCCAUAGCACAGUUCAUGAGCACAGCACGUGGGUAUGCACUGUGAUGGGGCAGCAGAGCGCAUGCGGCUAGUUCUAGUUAGUCUGUACUAGUCUGUGUCUGUACUAGUCUGUGUCUAGUUCUAGUUAGUCUAUACUGUUUGUCUUCAGUCUUCUUUUUCUAGCAUGCUUUACAUAGGACAGAAUAAAGGGCUAUUUAAUAAGAAAUCCAGAUCUCAGAUAGCAUAGUAGUAAUACUGUCUAGUUUAAAACCUGCAGUAAAGGUACUCAGAUUUAUGGCUUUCGUGACUAACAUUGAAACAUCAACCAACAAUGUACCAAGAAAACACGAUUUUAUGAAACAGAAUGUCACUUACUAUGUAAUUCCAAAAAGGGCUUUGUGCUUCUUACAUAACAUUGGGAUUGUGUAUAUUUGAACCAUAUAACUUGAAUUUUAAAGAUAGUAGUAUUUUGAAGAUGCAGCCUAUAUAUUCUUAAUAACCUUUUUAGGAAUAUGGAGAUAAAGAUGGUUUUUCUGCUUUUCUUCCAUCUGAGAUUUGACUUUUAUACCCAGCCAGAAGUUACAAAAGAAUGACCCACUCUGGGUAUAAGCUUGGUUUCCUUUAUUGAGACUUCCCAUUCACUGAAGAGAAGAAGAAGACAGGCAAAAGGUCCAGGUCACAGAGUUUCACCCGUAGCAAAGGUGUGCCGCAGUGUUACCUGCAGUCACCGUUCAGGUGUAACUGUGCUUCAUCGUUCCAAACGCUCAGGACUCCGUGUAUCAUUGUGGGCUCGGCUCUUCAGUAAGGAAGAGGAGCUGAAAGGCUGUGUAUGUUAGUAUGAAUUACCUAAGUGAACUAUGUUUUGGAAAGUUACAAAUACUUUUAGAUUAAGGAUGAGAAACUGGAGUGUUUUUAAUUUCAUGGUAAAAGUUUGCUUGUUUUACAUUUGAAUGUUCACAGUUUUCUCUCAGAAAAGUGCCAGACACUGUUUUGUGCUUUUGAAGAAGUUUUAUUUAUAUGCAUUAUUUUUAUUGUUAUUUUUACUUUGACUGGAAUGUCUAUUAAUGUGAAUUGUGUUUAUUUUUAUACUUUGGUUUUCACUAGUUUUGCUUCUAGGUAAAAGGCAAAAUAAAGUUUUCAUCCUAAAGGAAA